CUCGGAGCAGAAAAGCCAGAAGUGAACAUAACCCAACAAGCAAGAGAAAAGGAUAGAGCCUACAAGAGAAGUUUUUCCAGAGUAUGGUUCAGGCUUGGCUAACUAGCUGAGGGUAUGCCAAUGCAAUUUUUUGCUUUCCUUGUAUACUUUUUAAAACAAGUGCGUGUGAUAGUUCAUGGACACAGACAGGGUUGACAGACCUGAAACAUCUGUCAGAACGGAUAAAAAAAACUCAAGCGAGCAUGAGUGCAUAUGAACAACUGUGUGAAGCUAGCCAUACUAGAGAUCUUCUCACUCCAGCGGCGCUGUUCCUCCACGCCGCCUUCCUGGUUCCUUCACCGACCCAGCUGGCCUCCCAUACAAGUGUGCAUGUUUGAGAAGGAGAAAGGAGGAGUCCAGAGCAGCUGGGGUCGGCUAGCUCCGCCCACAACAGGAAAGACAAAACACACAUCCUAACUCCCGCCAGGAUCUACGGCACACGCCGUAACAGACAAUAUCAUUAUCAAUC
ensembl:lncRNA